GAUGAACGCUGGCGGCGUGCCUAAUACAUGCAAGUCGAGCGAACAGAUGAGGAGCUUGCUCCUCUGACGUUAGCGGCGGACGGGUGAGUAACACGUGGAUAACCUACCUAUAAGACUGGGAUAACUUCGGGAAACCGGAGCUAAUAUCGGAUAAUAUAUUGAACCGCAUGGUUCAAUAGUGAAAGACGGUUUUGCUGUCACUUAUAGAUGGAUCCGCGCCGCAUUAGCUAGUUGGUAAGGCAACGGCUUACCAAGGCAACGAUGCGUAGCCGACCUGAGAGGGUGAUCGGCCACACUGGAACUGAGACACGGUCCAGACUCCUACGGGAGGCAGCAGUAGGGAAUCUUCCGCAAUGGGCGAAAGCCUGACGGAGCAACGCCGCGUGAGUGAUGAAGGUCUUCGGAUCGUAAAACUCUGUUAUUAGGGAAGAACAAAUGUGUAAGUAACUAUGCACGUCUUGACGGUACCUAAUCAGAAAGCCACGGCUAACUACGUG
rnacentral:rRNA from 1 species